GACAGAGGGGGCAAGCGUUGCUCGGAAUCACUGGGCGUAAAGGGCGCGUAGGCGGGAUGGCAAGUCGGUCGUGAAAUCCUUCGGCCCAACCGAAGAACGUCGGCCGAUACUGCCGUUCUUGAGGGAUGCAGAGGAGACUGGAAUUCCCGGUGUAGCGGUGAAAUGCGCAGAUAUCGGGAGGAACACCAGUAGCGAAGGCGGCUCGCUGGGCCACACCUGACGCUGAGACGCGAAAGCGUGGGGAGCAAACAGG
rnacentral:rRNA from 1 species